CCAGGAGUGCAAACAUGAAGCGUGCAUUGGUGUGUGUGCUGAUGGCUGCCUGGAGCCUUGGAUGUGGCAGCCAGACGGUGGACCAGUCAGCAGAGAAUGUGUACGCCAUGAAAGGCGACUCAGUGACGCUGGACUGCAGCUAUAAAAAUUCUGGAGGCAACGACUACAUCUACUGGUACAAACAGGACGGGAAGGCGGCACCAAAGUUCAUCCUGAGCCUCUCAAUAUUUGGUCAGGGCAAGACUGAGAGCAGCUUUGAAAAGAGGUUCAGCUGCAGCGUCAAUGACACCGCCAAGCGAGCUCCUCUGAAGAUCCAAGACGUGCAGCUGAGCGACUCUGCUGUCUUCUACUGCGCCAUCCAGCCCACAAUGACUGACAUCUCUGCUGCACCUGCACAAAAACCUCUGUAGGCUCCUCGUCCCACUGUGGCUGUUUGAGAGCUGGUUCUGAGGAGGUUUUCACAACUUUUGUCGUUGUCAGGACAUCACAGGCGUGGCAAACUGGAGAUGUUUUUAUUUACAUACCUUAAUUGUUUCCAAUUCAUGUUUGUAGCACGGCAGUAAAGGGCUGAUCAAACACAACAGAAGUCAUCAUAAUAGACUGCGGAAGCUAGUUCUCCAUCAGCUAAACAGACUCAAUUAGUCCACGGAGACGUUUUAGUGAAUUUAUUGAGGAAUUUGUGAAACUGAAACUGCCCCUGAAAAAGAAACUCUCUGGGUGCCAAUGAUCUGUACAUUAGAGUAAAUCACCUUCGCAGGUCUGUCUCUGCUAUACCUAUCAUCAGACCGGGUACAUCUUUCUUUAACCUAUUAUCUACAUCUUUCUCUGGCCAUUUGUUUGGUUUUAAAUGACAUCACGUCCUGCUAACGUACCGCUCAUCAAUUAUGCGUGGUGGUCAAGCCAGCGUCUGUUCUCAAUGGGUAAUAGGCGGCAUUUAGCCUAUCUCGAAUAAAAAUGCCCUAUUCUUGCGUUGUUUUCGGCUGUACGAACUAUUUUCAUCGGAAAAAGGAUAAAAGUUUUUUCAGAGUUCCUCGAGUGGUAAUAUAGAUGAACAGAAGAGUGCAAUAUUUUACAAAAUGACGACGAAAAAAGUAGCACGCACUCCAGUCCAAAGGAGCAGAGUCGAAGUAUGCAGGAGU